AACAUUGUUUCUUGUGUUUGAAUUUGAAGUAUUGUCUGCCCACUGAGUAUUUGAAGGGCUGCGGUAUUACUGACCGUACAAAGGUAGCAUAAUAAAUAGUUCUUUGAUUGGGAGCUGGAAUGAAGGGCUUUAUGAAAAAUCAAUUGUCUUGAUUAUAAGAUUAGAAUUUAAUGUUUGGGUAAGAAAGCCUGAGUUAGUUAGUGGGACGAGAAGACCCUAUAGAAUUUUAUUUUAUUAUUUGAGUUAGUUGAUUUAUGAUAUAUGGUGUAUAAUAAAAUUUAAUUGGGGUGAUUGAAAAAUAUUUAGCUUUUUUUUUAUUUGAUUAUUAAUGAGUAUAGGUUUGAUCCAUGGGUUGAGUGAUUGUAAGAUAAAUUACCUUAGGGAUAACAGCGUUAUUUAUUCGGAUAGUUCAAAUAGAUGAAUAAGAUUGCGACCUC
rnacentral:rRNA from 1 species